rnacentral:rRNA from 1 species
AGGUUAAGUUAAUAAGGGCGCAUGGUGGAUGCCUUGGCACUAGAAGGCGAUGAAGGACGUGACUAACUACGAUAUGCCUCGGUUAGCUGUAAGUAAGCUUACCCGGGGGUUUCCGAAUGGGGCAACCCGAUCUUAAUGAUCAUCAUCUUUUUGAAUUCAUAGAUUAGAUGAAGCAAACGCUGUGAACUGAAACAUCUCAGUAGCAGUAGGAAAGUAAAGAAAUUUCGAUUCCGUCAGUAGCGGCGAGCGAACGCGGAAGAGCCCAAACCUGGAUGCUUGCAUCCAGGGGUUGUAGGACUGAUGUUGAGUUACAAAGGUAUAAGAUAGCAGAAACAGUUGGGAAGCUGUUCCAAAGAGGGUGACAGGCCCGUAUGCGAAAUCUUGUACUCUCUAAUCAGGAUCCUGAGUACGGCCCAGCACGUGAAAUUGGGUCGGAAUCUGGGAGGACCAUCUCCCAAGGCUAAAUACUAACUAGUGACCGAUAGCGAACAAGUACCGUGAGGGAAAGGUGAAAAGAACCCCGGAAGGGGAGUGAAAUAGUUC